UGUCAAGCUACGUAUUUAUCCUCGAACUUGAGUUAACUAAUGAGAUGAAAUCUAACAAAACCUGGUUCGCCUCUUCCAUCUCUUAAACUUGUUUUCACCGCCGCACUUCUUUCUCUUUCUCUCUUAUUAACCUCAUUAUUUUCUCUGCAACUGGUUGAAGAUGGAGAUUUAGUGUUCAUAUGAAGAUGAAAAGUUAGAGAUGAUGUUGUUAUAAGUAUUAUUAGUAUUUGUUUCUGUAUUCUGAAAAGCGUAAAACUGAUGAUUGGAGACGCAAAAAAUCUCAUAAGAUGUUGAUGGAGGUGGAAAUAAACCCAAUUGUUCUGGUGGUUUUGAAGAUGUUAGAGGUGGAAAUAGACCCAACUGUUGUGGUAUGGUGGUUUUGAAGAUGUUGAUGGAGGUGGUAAUGGACCUCCGCUGCUACGGUGGUUUUGGAGAUGUUGAUGGAGGUGGUAAUGGACUGCUGCCGCUGCUGCUUUGGUGGUUUUGAAGAUGGGGUGGGAAUUGCUGUUGCUGUACUGGUCCGCAUUCAGAUGGCUCCUAAAGGUUCACCAUUCCAGCUCCAGGGGUUUAAAUGGUGCCCAUCUAUCUGAUUAACUAUGGUCAAGUUACUUGGGUUAUAAGUGAAGGGUAUAUAAGUAAAACAUUGGGACCGUUUUUUGCAAAACUGUUAGAUCAGAUGGUUGAUGACCAUUUUGUAAACCAAAUUCAAAAGUGUGAUCAUUUUGUAAACCAAAUUACAAAAGUAUGACCAUUUUGUAAUUGACCCUAUUUAGGAUAUGUGGAAGUUUUGAAAAGAUUGAAAAUUAUGAAAAAGGAAAUGUACGAUGUA